UACGUAGGGUGCAAGCGUUGUCCGGAAUUAUUGGGCGUAAAGAGCUCGUAGGCGGUCUGUCGCGUCGGCUGUGAAAUCCCGAGGCUCAACCUCGGGUCUGCAGUCGAUACGGGCAAACUAGAGUAUUGCAGGGGAGACUGGAAUUCCUGGUGUAGCGGUGAAAUGCGCAGAUAUCAGGAGGAACACCGGUGGCGAAGGCGCUCAUCUGGCCCGAUACUGACGCUGAGGCGCGAAAGCGUGGGGAGCAAACAGG
rnacentral:rRNA from 1 species